UACGUAGGAUGCAAGCGUUGUCCGGAAUUAUUGGGCGUAAAGAGCGCGCAGGCGGUUACUCAAGUCCGAUGUCAAAUAUCCCGGCUUAACCGGGAGGGGCCAUUUGAAACUGGGUAACUAGAGUGAAGCAGAGGAUAGCGGAAUUCCCGGUGUAGUGGUGAAAUGCGUAGAUAUCGGGAGGAACACCAGUGGCGAAGGCGGCUAUCUGUGCUGUAACUGACGCUGAGGCGCGAAGGCUAGGGGAGCAAACAGG
rnacentral:rRNA from 1 species